GUGCUCGCUUUGGCAGCACAGAUACUAAAAUUGGAACGAUACAGAGAAAAUUAGCAUGGCCCCUGCACAAGGAUGACAUGCAAAUUCGUGAAGUAUUCCAUAUUUUU
rnacentral:snRNA from 1 species